rnacentral:tRNA from 2 species
GCCGCUAUGGCGGAAUUGGUAGACGCGCUGGAUUCAAAAUCCAGUUCCUUCGGGAGUGUGGGUUCGAUUCCCACUGGCGGUA